rnacentral:lncRNA from 1 species
GGAGCAUUCCAAGUGCUGGUGCCCCCAACUCUUUCAGAUUUAGACUGUGCCUUGGGACAGACCUGCCCCUGUCAGUGUUUGUCCAUGUGACCCUGUGACCUUGGAUAUCUUCCACUAUUGUAGAGUCACCAUCCUUCAGCUCUAGAAUGAGGACAGUGAGAACCACCUCAUGGUAUUGUACUAAAUCAUCAUGGGAAUGAGGUAUAAAAUGUUCAAGGUAAAAUGACCCUCAGUGAAUGGUGUGCCGAAGUAUUUCUUGGUGGUUAUUGGAGAGCAGAGGCCCUGUCUGUGCCUGAGAGGAGGAGUCUCUGUGACAGGACAGGAACAAGGUGUGCACCAUUCUAGGGAGUGUUAGAAUGUGCCUCAUGGGGCUAGACAGGGACUCUCUUGCCCUGGGCCCCCCUCUACUUCUCUGAGGGGCAGAGGUCAACCUUUGAGACCUCUAGGCCUUUUUCCAUGAUCCAGUUCUGAAAUCCCUCCACUGGGACUCACCUGUUUCACCCUUGAACAUACAUGGGCCUGACCUACCUGGGAUUGGGAACAUCAGUGAAUUCUUUCCAGGUCACUGAUGGGUCACACAUAUGGUCAGUGCCUGUGCUGGCUCUCUGCAACUGAUCUGACUUGGAGUAACUGGGGAACAUGUUU